CCAAUAGCGUAUAUUAAAGUUGUUGCAGUUAAAAAGCUCGUAGUUGAAUUUCGGGGUCAGUAGAUUGGUCGUGCCACUGGUAUGCACUGGUCUUACUGGCUCCUCCUUCCUGAUGAACCGUAAUGCCAUUAAUUUGGUGUUGCGGGGAGACUGGACUGUUACUUUGAAAAAAUUAGAGUGUUUAAAGCAGGCUAACGCUUGAAUACAUUAGCAUGGAAUAAUGAAAUAGGACGUUCGAUCUUAUUUUGUUGGUUUCUAAGAUUGACGUAAUGAUUAAUAGGGAUAGUUGGGGGCAUUAGUAUUCAAUUGUCAGAGGUGAAAUUCUUGGAUUUAUUGAAGACUAACUACUGCGAAAGCAUUUGCCAAGGAUGUUUUCAUUAAUCAAGAACGAAAGUUAGGGGAUCGAAGACGAUCAGAUACCGUCGUAGUCUUAACCAUAAACUAUGCCGACUAGGGAUCGGAUGAUGUUAAUUUUAUAAUGACUCAUUCGGCGCCUUACG
rnacentral:rRNA from 1 species